AGGCGGUAUGGCCAAGUGGUAAGGCAGAGGAUUGCAAAUUCUUUAUCCCCAGUUCGAAUCUGGGUGCCGCCUA
rnacentral:tRNA from 1 species